GUCAGAACUGCUGCUUAAAUACCAAAUAUUUUACAAAUCAUUGCUGGACAAUUUUAAUUAAAAUGUGUAUUUAAAAACAGCAUAGGUUUGAUGCUCACUCCUAGUUUCCCUCAGUUGUUGUGCUGUGGAUUCAACACUUAAAGGACUCAUGUUAUUCACUCAUUAAGUUUUUAAUCCGUUCAAUAUCUCUGACAAAUGUCGUCAGUAAAACGUCAAUGCCAUUGUGUAUACACAAUUCGAACAGAAUCAGUCAGACUGCUGGGAUGAGGUUAAAUCCUACAGGAGACAUGAUGACUUUUUGUUGAUUGAAAGUUGACUGAAUGCUUCCUAAGUAGGACUUGGAAAUUAUUAAAUAUUGUGCAUUAUACCUUUUUAUAUAGGUUUUUUAGAAUAGAAUUCCUGGAUCCAUAUAUUAUAUCCAAAAUACUUAAUAACAGUUUUAUUUUACUGUACUGUAUGAUUACUGUAUUAGGAAAACACUAACAACCAUAUGACUCACUAUAGGAUUUUUAAUAUUCUAGUAUAUAUUUUUGAUUGCUAUAAAUAAAAUGUAUAUCAAAUAUUAAUUUGGCCCAUAUUGCCCAGCCUAUAAAGUAGCACAAAAUAUACAUCAAACAUUUCUGGCUAGCUGACAUUAGCAGACAUUUACUUGCUUUGUUCAAAUCACCAAUUAAGACAGUGAAUGUCCUUGUUAGUAUUUUGUUUGAGAAAUAAAAUAUUUUCCCACAUACAGUACAGGCCAAAAGUUUGGACACACCUUCUCAUUCAAUGCCUUUUCUUUAUUUUCUUGACUAUUUACAUUGUAGAUUCUCACUGAAGGCAUCGCAACUAUGAAUGAACACAUAUGGAAUUAUGUACUUAACAAAAAAGUGUGUAUUUUAUAUUCCUCAAAGUCGCCAUCCUUUGCUUUUUUGAUAGCGCUGCAAACCCUUGGUGUUCUCUCAAUGAGCUUCAUAAGGUAGUCACCUGAAAUGGUUUUCACUUCACAGGUGUGCCUUGUCAGGGUUAAUUAGUGGAAUUUUUUCCCUUAUUAAUGGGGUUUGGACCAUCAGUUGUCUUGUGCAGAAGUCAGGUUGAUACACAGCCGACAGCCCUAUUAGACAACUGUUAGGAAUCAUAUUAUGGCAAGAACCAAUCAGCUAAGUAAAGGGGAAACGAGUGGCCAUCAUUACUUUAACAAAUGAAGGUCAUUCAGUCUGGAAAACUUUGAAUGUGUCCCCAAGUGCAAUCGCAAAAACCAUCAAGCGCUACAAUGAAACUGGCUCACGUGAGGACUGCCCCAGGAAAGGAAGACCAAGAGUCACCUCUGCUGCUGAGGAUAAGUUCAUCCGAGUCAUCAGCCAGCCAGCUCAGAUUAGAGACCAGCUGAAUGCCACACAGAGUUCUAGCAGCAGACACAUCUCUAGAACAACUGUUAAGAGGAGACUGCGCGAAUCAGGCCUUCAUGGUUAAGUAGCUGCUAGGAAACCACUGCUAAGGAGAGGCAACAAGCAGAAGAGAUUUGUUUGGGCCAAGAAACACAAGGAAUGGACAUUAGACCAGUGGAAAUCUGUGCUUUGGUCUGACGAGUCCAAUUUGAGAUCUUUGGUUCCAACCGCCGUGUCUUUGUGCGACGCAGAAAAGGUGAACGGAUGGAUUCUACAUGCCUGGUUCCCACUGUGAAGCAUGGAGGAGGUGUGAUGGUGUGGGGGUGCUUUGCUGGUGACACUGUUGGGGAUUUAUUCAAAAUUGAAGGCCAAUGACCCCAAACACACCUCCAGGCUGUGUAAGGGCUAUUUGACCAAGAAGGAGAGUGAUGGAGUGUUGCGCCAGAUGACCUGGUCUCCACAGUCACCAGACCUGAACCCAAUCGAGUUGGUUUGGGGUGAGCUGGACCGCAGAGUGAAGGCAAAAGGGCCAACAAGUGCUAAGCAUCUCUGGGAACUCCUUCAAGACUGUUAAACUAUUUCAGGUGACUACCUCUUGAAGCUCAUCAAGAGAAUGCCAAGAGUGUGCAAAGCAAUAAUCAGAGCAAAGGGUGGCUACUUUGAAGAAACUAGAAUAUAAGACAUGUUUUCAGUUAUUUCACAGUUUUUUGUUAAGUACAUAAUUCCACAUGUGUUCAUUCAAAGUUUUGAUGCCUUCAGUGAGAAUCUACAAUGUAAAUAGUCAUGAAAAUAAAGGAAACGCAUUGAAUGAGAA